rnacentral:rRNA from 1 species
UACGAAGGGGGCUAGCGUUGCUCGGAAUUACUGGGCGUAAAGCGCACGUAGGCGGUCUUUUAAGUCGGGGGUGAAAUCCUGGAGCUCAACUCCAGAACUGCCUUCGAUACUGGAAGACUUGAGUCCGGGAGAGGUGAGUGGAAACUGCGAGUGUAGAGGUGAAAUUCGUAGAUAUUCGCAAGAACACCAGUGGCGAAGGCGGCUCACUGGCCCGGUACUGACGCUGAGGUGCGAAAGCGUGGGGAGCAACAGGG